rnacentral:SRP_RNA from 2 species
GUCGAAAUGUGUAACGCUAGCUUGUGACCCAAGUGGGGGUACCAGAGUGAUGGAACAUGGCUUUGGUUUAUCAGAUUGGGCUGGUGGAUGCACCACGCUGGCCUGUUCAAUCCAAGUUGAGAGCUCACUCAUAGGACUUGAGCGAAGGCAUGAGUCUUGCGGAUUUUAGAUAGGAGGGUAGAGCGUGAGGCUGGUUUCAUAGAGAAAUGAAUACCUACUUAUCCGAAUUGUGGAGGGACCACAUGCCCUGAACUUUCUGUUCACGACACCUGGUGAACCUAACUCCUUAAACUAUCUCUU